CACCGCCCGUCAAGCCACCCGAGUUGGCCGCACCCGAAGUAGUAGUUCUAUCCGCUUUCCGCAAGGAGAGUGGGGGACGCUCCUAAGGUGAUGCCGGUGAGGGGGACU
rnacentral:rRNA from 1 species